rnacentral:rRNA from 1 species
GACGAACGCUGGCGGCGUGCUUAACACAUGCAAGUCGUACGGUAAGGCCCUUUCGGGGGUACACGAGUGGCGCACGGGUGAGUAACACGUGAGUAACCUGCCCACAACUUUGGGAUAACGCUAGGAAACUGGUGCUAAUACUGGAUAUGUGCUCCUGCUGCAUGGUGGGGGUUGGAAAGCUCCGGCGGUUGUGGAUGGACUCGCGGCCUAUCAGCUUGUUGGUGGGGCAGUGGCCUACCAAGGCGGCGACGGGUAGCCGGCCUGAGAGGGUGACCGGCCACAUUGGGACUGAGAUACGGCCCAGACUCCUACGGGAGGCAGCAGUGGGGAAUAUUGCACAAUGGGCGCAAGCCUGAUGCAGCAACGCCGCGUGCGGGAUGACGGCCUUCGGGUUGUAAACCGCUUUCAGCAGGGACGAAGCUUUUUGUGACGGUACCUGCAGAAGAAGCACCGGCUAACUACGUG